UACGUAGGGGGCAAGCGUUGUCCGGAUUUAUUGGGCGUAAAGAGCGUGUAGGCGGCCAGGUAGGUCUGCUGUGAAAACUCGAGGCUCAACCUCGAGACGCCGGUGGAAACCAUCUAGCUAGAGUCCGGAAGAGGCGAGUGGAACUCCUGGUGUAGCGGUGGAAUGCGUAGAUAUCAAGAGGAACACCUGAGGUGAAGACGGGUUGCUGGGCUGACACUGACGCUGAGGCGCGAAAGCCAGGGGAGCAAACGGG
rnacentral:rRNA from 1 species